ensembl:lncRNA
UGUAGGCUACUAACAUUAAUAAAAGAGAAAAAAAAAAAUCAUUUCAUUAGAGGAUUGAUGAGACGCUGAAAUGUAUAUAAAAAUAAAAAUAAAUGUUUUGAUGUUCAAUACACAGUCCAAAUACUCACUAUAGGAGAAUGAAUAAGCAUUGUGAUUCAUUUCUCUCCACUUGAUUUCAGUAACCAUGAGCUUAUUUCUGGCUGCUCUUUAAAUACUGCAUUAUUAAUUGCUGUGGGUUCAAGGACUAUGCCUUUUUUGUACACAAAUAAAGUAAGUCUUAAAACGACCACACAGAGGUUAAAGCAGCCCAAAAGGGCUUUAAACAAAGCCCUAAAAGCCAUUUAAUCAAAUAUUUUUUUUUAUUACCAGAAAGCAGACUGUUUCUGAGUUUGCAGUGUGUCACAAAUAAACAUGUUGAACAAACCAGACAAAUAAAAUCAACUUCUUUCAUAUUACAUUUUCUUUAAUGUGCACAGCAUUAUGUGAAUUUACAGUAAAAGCAAGGAAAGAGAAUUUGAGUUUUCCUAUAAAAAUAUGAAUAAAAAUACGAUCUCAUCUACGGAGGCAGACUCUUUAAGCAAACGCGUCGCAAUAGAUACUAAGACAGCAGGUAGACAAAGAGGUGACCGAAUCAAAGCAGGUAGACAAAAGGUGAGAGAAGUGAGCUUAAUAUCAUUACAAAAUACUAUAAACCCCACAUAAGCAGCAGCCUCUGAUGCUGGAAAUGUUAGUUUGCUGCCAGUCCUUGCCAGUGUGUGUGUGUGUGUGUGUGUGUGUGUGUGUGUGUCUGACAGUGAAUAAACAGAAAAGCAGACAGUUUUGUUUACGGGACGAAACUCCAAACCAAAUGAUUUCACUUCGUUCUGCAGAAACAGCAUUUAAAAAAAAAAUGCAAAAAACAAGUUCUUCAUCUUCAAAGACGGCAAAUAAAGUUUAAGUAUAUGUUAAGGCUGUGAUAAUGUGCUUAAAAAGUUCAAUCUUCACGACCUGCUGGAAGACCUCGCUAGGUUGUUAUCCUAUAGUUGCUAGCUUCAUGUGACGUCUCUCUGGAAGUUGUAAAGACAUUCUCUGCCACUCAAAAAACUGUUGCCAUGAUGGCCAGUUCGAAGUGUUACAUGUCAGAGCCAGGAACAGUCUCAUUGUUAGUAUAUGCUGAGCUGGCAAAGGGUUCAGUGAGGGCACCUCUUUUGCCCGUGUUUGGGCCGUCCACAAUAUUCAGUGGCAACAUGCAGUGUGACGGGCAGUCUUGACAUCAGCAGGGCCACGCCUAUUUUUUUAUUCGUUCAGUUUCCCCCGAGGCCGUUCCCAUAAAACAUAAAACUUUUGGAUUACAUAAACCCUGGUGAUGACACCAAAGGGUGAUAGUACCCAAAUGAAAGGACGAACAUAGCAAAACUAUUAGAAUCUACUAUAUAUUGUUUACACACCACAAUGGAACUAUUUUGGAACAGCUAAGUGGACGUGUCAAUGAACAAAAGGGGACAAAAAACAAAACAAAUUCACAGCCUUGUCCCAGCAGGCAAAUCUUAAAGUUAUAGUUCACGCUAAAAUGAAAAUUCAGACAUUGUUUACUCAACCUCACAUCUUUCCAAAUGCAUAUACCUAUGACUUUUCUGUUGAAUACAAAGUAGAAAGUUUGAGAAAUAUUUAACAUUAAAUGUGCGGUCACAUUUACUGUUGUUCAGCAAAAUGUUGCGGCUGAAAUCCAGUUAUUUCAAUAGGAAUAUAUGCGAUUGACUGGGAAUUUCACAAAAGAUUUCUCCCCGAAUAAAUUCAAGUUGGUCACGCAGAUUUGCCGCAUUCAUAAACAGAAAGCUUCUUGGGUUCAUACAUCGCAACA